AGUUCAGGUACCACAGAGAGUCCCACAGCCAGUUCAGGCACCACAGAGAGUCCUAAAGCCAGUUCAGGUACCACAGAGAGUCCUACAGCCAGUUCAGGUACCACAGAGAGUCCCACAGCCAGUUCAGGUACUAUAGAGAGUCCUACAGCCAGUUCAGGUACCACAGAGAGUCCUACAGCCAGUUCAGGUACCACAGAGAGUCCCACAGCCAGUUCAGGUACCACAGAGAGUCCUACAGCCAGUUCAGGUACCACAGAGAGUCCUAAAGCCAGUUCAGGUACCACAGAGAGUCCCACAGCCAGUUCAGGUACCACAGAGAGUCCUACAACCAGUUCAGGUACUACAGAGAGUCCUACAGACAGUUCAGGUACCACAGAGAGCCCU